rnacentral:rRNA from 1 species
GAUGAACGCUGGCGGCGUGCCUAAUACAUGCAAGUCGACCGAACAGACGAGGAGCUUGCUCCUCUGACGUUAGCGGCGGACGGGUGAGUAACACGUGGAUAACCUACCUAUAAGACUGGGAUAACUUCGGGAAACCGGAGCUAAUACCGGAUAAUAUAUUGAACCGCAUGGUUCAAUAGUGAAAGACGGUUUUGCUGUCACUUAUAGAUGGAUCCGCGCCGCAUUAGCUAGUUGGUAAGGUAACGGCUUACCAAGGCAACGAUGCGUAGCCGACCUGAGAGGGUGAUCGGCCACACUGGAACUGAGACACGGUCCAGACUCCUACGGGAGGCAGCAGUAGGGAAUCUUCCGCAAUGGGCGAAAGCCUGACGGAGCAACGCCGCGUGAGUGAUGAAGGUCUUCGGAUCGUAAAACUCUGUUAUUAGGGAAGAACAAAUGUGUAAGUAACUAUGCACGUCUUGACGGUACCUAAUCAGAAAGCCACGGCUAACUACGUG